rnacentral:rRNA from 1 species
GAUGAACGCUGGCGGCGUGCCUAAUACAUGCAAGUCGAGCGAACGGACGAGAAGCUUGCUUCUCUGAUGUUAGCGGCGGACGGGUGAGUAACACGUGGAUAACCUACCUAUAAGACUGGGAUAACUUCGGGAAACCGGAGCUAAUACCGGAUAAUAUUUUGAACCGCAUGGUUCAAAAGUGAAAGACGGUCUUGCUGUCACUUAUAGAUGGAUCCGCGCUGCAUUAGCUAGUUGGUAAGGUAACGGCUUACCAAGGCAACGAUGCAUAGCCGACCUGAGAGGGUGAUCGGCCACACUGGAACUUAGACACGGUCCAGACUCCUACGGGAGGCAGCAGUAGGGGAUCUUCCGCAAUGGGCGAAAGCCUGACGGAGCAACGCCGCGUGAGUGAUGAAGGUCUUCGGAUCUUAAAACUCUGUUAGUAGGGAAGAACAUAUGUGUAAGUAACUGUGCACAUCUUGACGGUACCUAAUCAGAAAGCCACGGCUAACUACGUG